rnacentral:rRNA from 1 species
UUCUUUAAGACUCUCAUUUAAAGUAAAACCUGCUCAAUGAUAUUUAAAUAGCUGCAGGAGACUGUACUAAGGUAGCAAGAUCAAUAGUUCUCUAAUUAAGAACGCGUAUGAAAGGUAUUAUAAAAAUAUAAAAUCUUAAUAAGACUUAUUGAACUUAAAAAUUAAGUCAAAAUUCUUAAUUAAAAUUUAGGGACGAGAAGACCCUAAAAGCUUAAUAUUAAAUUUUUCUUUAAAUAAAUUCAAAAUUUGAUUGGGGUAAUCUAAUAAGAAAAAAAUUUAUCUUACGAGCCAUUAUUUAAUGAUUAUAGAACAAGUUACUUUAGGGAUAACAGCGUUAUAAAAGAAAAAGAGCUCCUAUCUUUUUCUUUGUUUGCGACCUCGAUGUUGGAUUAAUUUACCUAUUAGGAGAAAGCUCUUACCAAGGUAGACUGUUCGUCUAUUAAAUAUUUACA